UGGGGAAUAUUGGACAAUGGGGGGAACCCUGAUCCAGCCAUGCCGCGUGUGUGAAGAAGGCCUUUUGGUUGUAAAGCACUUUAAGCGGGGAGGAGGCUCUUCUAGUUAAUACCUAGGAUGAGUGGACGUUACCCGCAGAAUAAGCACCGGCUAACUCUGUGCCAGCAGCCGCGGUAAUACAGAGGGUGCGAGCGUUAAUCGGAUUUACUGGGCGUAAAGCGUACGUAGGCGGCUUUUUAAGUCGGAUGUGAAAUCCCUGAGCUUAACUUAGGAAUUGCAUUCGAUACUGGGAAGCUAGAGUAUGGGAGAGGAUGGUAGAAUUCCAGGUGUAGCGGUGAAAUGCGUAGAGAUCUGGAGGAAUACCGAUGGCGAAGGCAGCCAUCUGGCCUAAUACUGACGCUGAGGUACGAAAGCAUGGGGAGCAAACA
rnacentral:rRNA from 1 species